rnacentral:lncRNA from 1 species
UAAUUUUAGUAGAGACAGGGUUUCACCGUGUUAGCCAGGAUGGUCUCGAUCUCCUGACCUCGUGAUCUGCCUGCCUCGGCCUCCCAAAGUGCUGGGAUUACAGGCGUGAACCACUGCACCCGGCCCAGUACUGCAUCUUAACAGCAAAGCCAUUUUAUUCUACUUUAUAACUGAGAGACUUGAUACCAUCCAUCUCUUUAGGUUACAGAGGAUAAUUUGAAGAGAAAUGUUACUGUAGAAUAUAUAGUUCUGUACUUUUUUUUUUUUUUUUUAAGAGAUAGGGUUUCACUAUUGCUCAGGCUGGUCUCAAACUGCUGGGCUCAGGAGAUCCUCCUGCCUUGGCCUCCCAAAUUGCUGGGAUUACAGGUGUGAGCCGCAGCAUCCAGCCAGUUCUGUACUUUGAAUAUGGAGUAGUUUACAGCUAUUUUUUUUUCUUACUGGUAAUCUUAACUAAUAUGAUUCCCUUGUUAGAGAGCCUCUCACUCCCCCACCCCCAAAAAUGUCUACUAUUCAUGACAGUAACCAAUUAUUCUGGACAAAUUGCUUCUUUUUAAUUUGAGCUAUCUGCCAUGGACUUUCUAAAAUGGAAACACAGCCUGAGUGUAUCUUAGGGAGAGUUUGAUUGAAAAAAUCCAAAUCACUAUCCAUAUAGAUCAUGGAUAUAAAGAGAUACCUGAUUUUUAUUAAAAAGAUACUUUUUCAAAUUUAAGAGUUAAUCUUGGAAAUUUGGAACAAGUAAAGGGGCAAGUAAACCUUUUGAUGAAAUAUAAAAGGAACUCAUUGCAUGAAGUUGACUAUCAAAUUCUGUGAUGUGUGGCUUCUUAAAAAUAUUCUCAGUGUCUUUUGUGUGCGUGCAGCAUGUACAUUUGAUGUUAUGUGAAUGUUGAGUUUUUUCUUCUAAUUUUCACUUCAGCAGUGUUUAGGGCUUUCAGAUGCCUUAUUCCAGUGUGAACAGAAAAAGUUCAUAUUUUAUGUGGUUAAUGCUUUGAUGUGUCACAUAAAGAGUAGUUUGUAGAAAAUGUUGGCACAAUUUUAACUUCUUAGUGGCUUGUGACAUUAUAUAUUAUAUAUAUAUAUGUACAUAUAUCUUUAUAACAUUCCUGUGUUUAGUAGUGUAAAUGUUCUGGGCAAGUUUUAAUAUUUUGAAUGCCUUUGGAUAUUCCAGCAAUAAAGGCAUCAUGUUCUGCAAUAGGAUUUCUUACUCAUUUACCUAUUUUAACACUAAAAUAGACCACAACUGAGCACAAAUUCCUUUUAUAAAUGUUAUAGAAGCAGGGAAGAAUAAUAAACACAUUUGUGAAUUGUGGUUCAGUUUAUUUAUCUUUAGGGAAGGCUGAUCAUUUAUCUUAUAGCAGAUAACCCCAGCCUCUUAUUCAUUAUGGUUAACUUUUAUAAUUUAUCUUAUUUUAUAAUUUAAGAAUAUAGUACAUAUCAGUUGGGUUUGGUUUUGGUCAUCGAGACUAAAAGCUCCAUCAAAACAGAACUUUGUGUUUUCUGCUAACUUAUUUAAUGACACAAGUUUUAAGAGAACCACAAUUCAUUGAUUCACUUAUUCUUUUCCCUAAUUGUGAAUUUUAGUGAUAAAUACACCUGUACUACUGAGGAAAAUAUUCUGACACUUCACGUGUGCAAAGUAUAGAACUGACAGUGUCAGUUUCAGAUUUUGUAUGUACGAUUUCUGGCUUAUAUAUCCAAUGGUGCAGAUUUUGAAAUUUGUAAGAACAAAAUUUGUUAAGAAAAACAACUUGCUCUAGUUUUGUGACCUUGUGUACUUUUGAAAUAAAAUCAAGAAA